AUUGAACGCUGGCGGCAGGCCUAACACAUGCAAGUAGAACGAGUGGCGGACGGGUGAGUAAUGUCUGGGAAACUGCCUGAUGGAGGGGGAUCACUACUGGAAACGGUAGCUAAUACCGCAUACCAUCAGAUGUGCCCAGAUGGGAUUAGCUGGUUGGUGGGGUAACGGCGCACAAGGGCGACGAUCCCUAGCUGGUCUGAGAGGAUGACCAGCCACACAGGACCUGAGCCACGGUCCAGGCUCCUACGUGAGGCAGCAGUGGGGAAUAUUGCACAAUGGGCGCAAGCCUGAUGCAGCCAUGCCGCGUGUAUGAAGGAGGCCUUCGGUUUGUAAAGUACUUUCAGCGGGGAGGCGUUACCCGCAGAAGAAGCACCGGCUAACUCCGUGCCAGCAGCCGCGGUAAUAC
rnacentral:rRNA from 1 species